CAGCAGCCGCGGUAAUACGUAGGUGGCAAGCGUUAUCCGGAAUUAUUGGGCGUAAAGCGCGCGUAGGCGGUUUCUUAAGUCUGAUGUGAAAGCCCACGGCUCAACCGUGGAGGGUCAUUGGAAACUGGGAAACUUGAGUGCAGAAGAGGAAAGUGGAAUUCCAUGUGUAGCGGUGAAAUGCGCAGAGAUAUGGAGGAACACCAGUGGCGAAGGCGACUUUCUGGUCUGUAACUGACGCUGAUGUGCGAAAGCGUGGGGAUCAAACAGGAUUAGAUACCCCCGUAGUCCCUGUCUCUUAUAC
rnacentral:rRNA from 1 species